rnacentral:rRNA from 1 species
GACGAACGCUGGCGGCGUGCUUAACACAUGCAAGUCGAACGGAAAGGCCUGCUUUCCCUUGUGGAUUGCGGGUGCUCGAGUGGCGAACGGGUGAGUAACACGUGAGUGAUCUGCCCCCAACUUGGGUAUAAGCCUGGGAAACUGGGUCUAAUUCCCGAUAGGACUGCAGGGUGGUGCCUGUGGUGGAAAACGAUUUUCUAGUGGUUGGGGAUGAGCUCGCGGCCUAUCAGCUUGUUGGUGGGGUAAUGGCCUACCAAGGCGGCGACGGGUAGCCGGCCUGAGAGGGUGGACGGCCACAUUGGGACUGAGAUACGGCCCAGACUCCUACGGGAGGCAGCAGUGGGGAAUAUUGCACAAUGGGCGGAAGCCUGAUGCAGCGACGCCGCGUGGGGGAUGACGGACUUCGGGUUGUAAACUCCUUUCGACCGCGAGGAAGCCACCUGGUUGGAAGGGUGGUGACGGUAGUGGUAGAAGAAGCACCGGCUAACUACGUG